rnacentral:rRNA from 1 species
AUUGAACGCUGGCGGUAGGCCUAACACAUGCAAGUCGAACGCGAAAGUCCUUCGGGAUGAGUAGAGUGGCGGACGGGUGAGUAAUGCAUCGGAACGUACCCAGUCGUGGGGGAUAACGUAGCGAAAGUUACGCUAAUACCGCAUACGUCCUGAGGGAGAAAGCGGGGGACCGUAAGGCCUCGCGCGAUUGGAGCGGCCGAUGUCGGAUUAGCUAGUUGGUAGGGUAAAGGCCUACCAAGGCGACGAUCCGUAGCGGGUCUGAGAGGAUGAUCCGCCACACUGGACGUGAGACACGGCCCAGACUCCUACGGGAGGCAGCAGUGGGGAAUUUUGGACAAUGGGCGAAAGCCUGAUCCAGCCAUGCCGCGUGAGUGAAGAAGGCC